AAGGCUGCACCGGGGGCACGCCGCUGGCUCCCGCACCGCACCGGGAGAGAAGGACGGAGAUAAGGGAAGGCGGAGGCUGGCGCAGGCGGGUACAGCCGCGCGGCGGGUACGGAGCGCGGGAGGCCGCGGCGAUGGGCUGGGGGCGCGGUGGGGCGGGACCCGCCGCCAUCUUGGGGCGGGGCCGGCCGCCAUUUUGUGCGUAAGGGGAGUGGCCUCCGGACCUCUCCCUCCUCACUGAACUGCCCCUGGAGGGGGUGUUUAGAGCCGUUUUUGAGGGGUUCAGGCUCGUUUGUGGUGGGUUUGGGCUGCUACUGCUGCCUCUUAGCCGAGCCCGCGCAGCCAUGGCCCAGUGCAGCCUCCCCGUCCCUGUCAGUGGACACCCGCCCGACUCCAUCCGUGUGAGGGGAAAGGGCUCGGUCCGGCUCUACUGCCGCACCCAGCAGUUCACCAGGCUCUCUGGCACUCACGAUUGAAAACCUCACUCCACAGUGAGCAAAGCGAGGAGUGAAAAAUUCCAGGGGUGGUCUCCAAGUGUUGCCUCUGAGACUGGAAACUACCCGCUUAUAAAAUCAAAUAAAAUAAUUUUGCACAGGAACAA